rnacentral:rRNA from 1 species
ACGGGAGGCAGCAGUGAGGAAUAUUGGUCAAUGGGCGAGAGCCUGAACCAGCCAAGUCGCGUGAAGGAUGAAGGUUCUAUGGAUUGUAAACUUCUUUUGUUCGAGGGUAAAGUGAGUCACGUGUGAUUUAUUGCAAGUAUCGAACGAAUAAGCAUCGGCUAACUCCGUGCCAGCAGCCGCGGUAAUACGGAGGAUGCGAGCGUUAUCCGGAUUUAUUGGGUUUAAAGGGUGCGUAGGCGGGAUGUUAAGUCAGCGGUUAAAUAGUGUAGCUCAACUAUACUUUGCCGUUGAAACUGGCGUUCUUGAGUGUAAACGAGGUAGGCGGAAUGUGACGUGUAGCGGUGAAAUGCUUAGAUAUGUCACAGAACCCCGAUUGCGAAGGCAGCUUACCAGCAUACAACUGACGCUGAGGCACGAAAGCGUGGGUAUCAAACAGGAUUAGAUACCCUGGUA